GAUGAACGCUAGCUACAGGCUUAACACAUGCAAGUCGCGGGGCAGCAUGGGGGUUGCUUGCAAUCCCCGAUGGCGACCGGCGCACGGGUGAGUAACGCGUAUCCAACCUGCCCUUCACCACGGGAUAACCCGGCGAAAGUCGGACUAAUACCGUAUGUUGUCCAUUGGCGGCAUCCGAUUUGGACGAAAGGCUUGGCGGUGAGGGAUGGGGAUGCGUCCGAUUAGCCAGACGGCGGGGUAACGGCCCACCGUGGCUACGAUCGGUAGGGGUUCUGAGAGGAAGGUCCCCCACACUGGAACUGAGACACGGUCCAGACUCCUACGGGAGGCAGCAGUGAGGAAUAUUGGUCAAUGGGCGUAAGCCUGAACCAGCCAAGUAGCGUGCAGGAUGACGGCCCUAUGGGUUGUAAACUGCUUUUAUGCGGGGAUAAAGUGGCCCACGUGUGGGCUUUUGCAGGUACCGCAUGAAUAAGGACCGGCUAAUUCCGUG
rnacentral:rRNA from 1 species